rnacentral:tRNA from 1 species
GCCAGAGUGGCGAAAUUGGUAGACGCGCACGUUUCAGGUACGUGUGGAGCAAUCCUUGCAGGUUCGAUUCCUGUCUCUGGCA